rnacentral:misc_RNA from 1 species
GAUGAAGAACGCAGCGAAAUGCGAUACGUAAUGUGAAUUGCAGAAUUCAGUGAAUCAUCGAGUCUUGGAACGCACAUUGCGCCCCCUCGUAUUCCGGGGGGCAUGCCUGUCCGAGCGUCAUUGCUGCCCUCAAGCACGGCUUGUGUGUUGGGCCUCCGUCCUCCUCCCGGGGGACGGGCCCGAAAGGCAGCGGCGGCACCGCGUCCGGUCCUCGAGCGUAUGGGGCUUCGUCACCCGCUCUUGUAGGCCCGGCCGGCGCUUGCCGACACAUCAAUCUUUUUUCCAGGUUGACCUCGGAUCAGGUAGGGAUACCCGCUGAACUUAAGCAUAUCAAUAAGCGGAGGA